CCAAAAUCGUCCACGUGCUUUCCGCUCCGAGGUAAUUUUCAAGAACAACGCGGUCCCAACGGUCAUAAUGGACACGUGUCUCCUUCUGACGUUAGUAUAAAUACGAACGUUAGUUGAUCUUUAAGCAAUUCACACUUGCAUAAAAUCCGCACCUUACCCUCUCCUCUCUCUGAGGAGAGAGAAACCAAGUAACUUUCUCCGUUCGCUAUUUCUCUUCAAUCGAUAUACGCCGGCUCGGCAGAGGUACAUGAAUUGAUUCUUUUUCCGUUUCGUUUUUGGGAAUUUUUUCACCUUCUGAUUUAUAAUUGUUUAGGUUAAUUAAUUUUGUAUCUGAUCAUAUUCGAAUGAAGAUGAAGUGGUGGGGCAAAAUGCAGAGAGUUUGGAUCAAAGUCUCUUACCGUUUCGGUUAUCGCAAAAAUGGUUAGCUUUUUCAAUUUUUUUAAAGUAUACUUUUCAUUUCAUCGCAUCGGAAUUAGUUUGUUGGCUGCUUUCCCCUUUUUUUUCUUCCUUAUAAUUUGAUUCAUAGAAGAUAUGCUUAGUUUAUGAUUUAUUUUGAUUAAACUGUACGAAUGUUAGUUUAUUCCAAAUAUUGUAAUUAAUCAUGUGCGUCUCAUUCUAGAACAAUUAGCGAAUCCAAAUGGAUUAAGUCCAUGUAAUUGUCAAGGAAGGCUGAAUUGAUGGAACCAUGAUAUAUAUUUUAAUCUCAUUGUGUUACACGUACAUCACUACUUACACAUUUACAUAUUUGUUUACGGAUAAUUUGACGAGAUAUAAUUGAAUCAAAAUUUCACCAACCAACUAAAAAAAUAAAAUCCGCCACUCUUUUUUUGACAUCUCACCAAUCUGUGAAGGAAUAUGUAAAUGGUGAUGCGCAACAAGCAUUUUCCAUUUUGAUCACUCAUUCAAAAUUUCUAUUAAGUAAUUGACAGUUAAAUAUUAAUAUAGAGAAACGAUUUUCAUCACAAUUUUUUCAUAUAUUUUGGUAGAUAUAUUCACUUUCUGAGAAAUUUUGACAUUAGACCAACGUAGUAUACCAAACAGAUGAUCUAUGUUGAUUUCAAUGAAUAACCACGUGAAAUUGCUUCAGGGCUAGCAAAGCUCCACCAAGAUGUUAGGACGUGUGAGUAUGAGGAUGUCCACAUCUUGUGGAAUAUGCUGAAUAGAAAUGAGACAGGUCUCAGUAGAAGGAAAAAGAGGUACUUUUGGGACAUCAUUCAAUGGGCUCCAUUCGCUUGCCGUGGUGCUUCUUCUCUUUGAUACUCACAACGUAUUUUUAAAUUCUCGAAAUCAGUCUAUUCAUUAUUUUGUGUUAAGAUGAAGCCCUGAAUUUCAUAUGCUGCUGUUUAUUAUGUAAACCAGUAUAGAUUAUUUUGUUUUUGUUUAUUUAAUGUCAAAUGUAUGGUGGUGGAGUAUUUGCUUCUCUUACUGAAUGCUUCUUGACAUGUAUGGUGAAUACAAACUCUUAUCAGAAGUUGACAUACCUUUAUCAAUAUAAAAUGGUGUGAAAAAUUUUGAUACUUGUAAAUAGAUCGUAUGUAUGUUUUUAAUAACAGGCUGCAUCCGUUUGUAUUUUGAAAUGCUGUUUAAUUCUUUGAUUUUUUGUGGUUAUGUCAUAAUUUGGAAAUGUUGCUAUUAAAUUUUUGUAUUCUUAUUCUCUAGGACCAACCUCUCUCCCUCCCUCCCCC
rnacentral:lncRNA from 1 species